GGAGCCAUGAUGGUUCAGUGGUACAACAUCUGCUUGGCAUACAGAAGGUCCCGUGUUCGAGCCCCAGCAUCUCCA
rnacentral:tRNA from 1 species